rnacentral:rRNA from 1 species
CCCUUMMCUGGUUGAUCCUGCCAGUAGUCAUAUGCUUGUCUCAAAGAUUAAGCCAUGCAUGUCUAAGUGCACGCCUUUAUACGGUGAAACCGCGAAUGGCUCAUUAAAUCAGCUAUGGUUUAUUGGAUCGUACCCGUUAAAUGGAUAACUGUAAUAACUCUAGAGCUAAUACAUGCCACGAAGCCCUGACCCGCGAGGGAAUGGGUGCACUUAUUAGAUCAGAAGCCAACCGGGUAGGCUGCUCCGGCAGUUUGCUCGUUGCCCUUCUGGUGACUCUGGAUAAUUGUUACAGAUCGCACCGACGACUUGCUUGAGUCGGCGACGGGUCCUUCAAAUGUCUGCCCUAUCAACUUUCGAUGGUAGGUGACCUGCCUACCAUGGUGAUAACGGUAACGGGGAAUCAGGGUUCGAUUCCGAGAGGGAGCCUGAGAAACGGCUACCACUUCCAAGGGAGGCAGCAGGCGCGCAAAUUACCCACUCCCAGUACGGGGAGGUGGUGACGAAAAAUACUGAUGCGGGACUCAUAAACGAGGCUCCGUAAUCGGAAUGAGUGAACUCUAAAUCCUUUCACGAGGAUCAAUUGGAGGGCAAGUCUGGUGCCAGCAGCCGCGGUAACUCCAGCUCCAAUAGCGUAUAUUAAAGUUGCUGCAGUUAAAAAGCUCGUAGUUGGAUCUCGGUAGCACUGUUUCCUGCCAAGCCUCGAGCGGUUGGGCUAGCGAUGCAUGGGUUCCGCUCGUGUUGUCCUUGUCCGGCCGUUUUGAGUUGGCGUGGUAGCGGUGUCGCCUUUCAGCCAUGUCUGUGGUGAAAUAUCCGCAGGUGUAGGCGAGUGUCAGGCGGUGCUUUGCUUCAGUAAGGUCCGUCGGCUCGUUUGCAUGCCUUUGGAUGCCCUUCAAAAGGUGUCUGUGGGCGGAUGGCACGUUUACUUUGAACAAAUUUGAGUGCUCAAACCAGGCAGCCGAUGUUGCCUGAAAAGUUUUGCAUGGAAUAAUGGAAUAGGACUUCGGUUCUAUUUUGUUGGUUUUCGGAUCCGAAGUAAUGAUCAAAAGAGACAGGCGGGGACGUUUGUAUGGUUGCGCUAGAGGUGAAAUUCAUGGACCGUAAUCAGACAAACUAAAGCGAAAGCAUUCGUCAAGCAUGUUUUCAUUGACCAUGAGCGAAAGUCAGAGGCUCGAAGACGAUCAGAUACCGUCCUAGUUCUGACCAUAAACGAUGCCAACUGACGAUCCGUGGUGGUAGUUUAUAACAUUCCCCACGGGCAGUCCCCGGGAAACCUUUAAGUCUUUGGGUUCCGGGGGAAGUAUGGUUGCAAAGCUGAAACUUAAAGGAAUUGACGGAAGGGCACCACCAGGAGUGGAGCCUGCGGCUUAAUUUGACUCAACACGGGAAAACUCACCCGGCCCGGACACUGUGAGGAUUGACAGAUUGACAGCUCUUUCUUGAUUUGGUGGUUGGUGGUGCAUGGCCGUUCUUAGUUGGUGGAGCGAUUUGUCUGGUUAAUUCCGAUAACGAACGAGACUCUAGCCUGCUAAUUAGUGCAUCUGUCCACUGUUCCUGUGUGAGCGGCGUUUUGGCGAUUCUGCUCAGUUACUCUGCCGUGGAUGCACGCGAGUGUGUGGGUGGUUUGUGCAGCAGUUGCUCUUGCAGUGGCUGCCGUGCGGCCGCUUGUGUGCUUGUGUUCGCCAUGGUGGUGUGAGUGGAUGGACCGGCGUUUGCUCCCGGGUACGGCGCGGGUGUCUACUUCUUAGAGGGACAAGCGGACGAAAGCGCACGAAAUUGAGCAAUAACAGGUCUGUGAUGCCCUUAGAUGUCCGGGGCCGCACGCGCGCUACAAUGACGGUGCCAACGAGUCUGACCCUCUGGCCUGAAAAGGUUGGAUAAACUGGUCAAUCACCGUCAUGACAGGGAUCGGGGCUUGGAAUUGUUCCCCGUGAACGAGGAAUUCCUAGUAAGUGCAAGUCAUAAGCUUGCGCUGAUUACGUCCCUGCCCUUUGUACACACCGCCCGUCGCUACUACCGAUUGAAUGGUUUAGUAAGGUCCUUGGAUUGGCGCCAUUGUAGUGGGCUCCGCAAGGUGUCUACUCGACAGGUGCUGAGAAGACGACCAAACUUGAUCAUUUAGAGGAAGUAAAAGUCGUAACAAGGUUUCCGUARGUGAACCUGCARAUGGAUCA